rnacentral:tRNA from 1 species
GCCUAGCUGGCUCAGUUGGUAGAGCAUGUGACUCUUGAUCUCAGGGUUGUGAGUUCAAGCCCCAUGUUGGGUA